GGUUAAGUUAACAAGGGCGCAUGGUGAAUGCCUUGGCACUAGGAGCCGAUGAAGGACGGGACUAACACCGAUAUGCUUCGGGGAGCUGUACGUAAGCUAUGAUCCGGAGAUUUCCGAAUGGGGCAACCCAGCAGUUUUAAUCAACUGUUACCACUAGAUGAAUUCAUAGUCUAGUUGGAGGUAAACGCUGUGAACUGAAACAUCUCAUUAGCAGCAGGAAUAUAAAGAAAUUUCGAUUCCCUAAGUAGCGGCGAGCGAACGGGGAACAGCCCAAACCAAAGUGCUUGCACUUUGGGGUUGUAGGACUGAACAUUUGAGUUACCAAAGAACUUGAUAGUCGAAGGAUUUGGGAAAAUCCGCCAUAGAUGGUGAUAGCCCAGUAGAUUAAAUCAAAUUCUCUCAGUUCAGGAUCCUGAGUACGGCGGAACACGUGAAAUUCCGUCGGAAUCCGGGAGGACCAUCUCCCAAGGCUAAAUACUACCUAGUGACCGAUAGUGAACCAGUACCGUGAGGGAAAGGUGAAAAGCACCCCGGGAGGGGAGUGAAAUAGUUCCUGAAACCAUGUGCCUACAAUAAGUCAGAGCGCGUUAAUGCGUGAUGGCGUGCCUUUUGUAGAAUGAACCGGCGAGUUAUGAUCCCGUGCAAGGUUAAGACUAAAAAGUCGGAGCCGUAGCGAAAGCGAGUCUGAAAUGGGCGUUUUGAGUACGAGGUUAUAGACCCGAAACCAGGUGACCUAUCCAUGUCCAGGUUGAAGGUGCGGUAAAACGCACUGGAGGACCGAACCCGUGUAAGUUGAAAAUUGCUGGGAUGAGGUGUGGAUAGCGGUGAAAUUCCAAACGAACUUGGAGAUAGCUGGUUCUCUCCGAAAUAGCUUUAGGGCUAGCCUCGGAAUUAGGAUCAUGGAGGUAGAGCACUAUUUGGACUAGGGGCCCGUCUUGGGUUACUGAAUUCAGAUAAACUCCGAAUGCCAUUGAUUCAUAUCCGGGAGUCAGACGAUGAGUGAUAAGAUCCACCGUCGAAAGGGGAACAGCCCAGACCAUCAGUUAAGGUCCCUAAAUGUAUGCUAAGUGGAAAAGGAUGUGGAGUUGCAUAGACAACUAGGAUGUUGGCUCAGAAGCAGCCACCAUUUAAAGAGUGCGUAAUAGCUCACUAGUCGAGUGAUCCUGCGCCGAAAAUGUACCGGGGCUAAGCAUACUACCGAAACCAUGGAUGCGACCAUUAGGUCGCGUGAUAGGAGAGCGUUCUAAGGGCGGUGAAGCAAGAUCGUGAGGACUUGUGGAGCGCUUAGAAGUGAGAAUGCCGGUAUGAGUAGCGAAAGAUAGGUGAGAAUCCUAUCCACCGAAUGACUAAGGUUUCCUGGGGAAGGCUCGUCCUCCCAGGGUUAGUCGGGACCUAAGUCGAGGCCGAGAAGCGUAGACGAUGGAUAACAGGUUGAGAUUCCUGUACUAGUUAAGUGCGUUUGAGCAAUGGAGGGACGCAGGAGGCUAAGAUGUGCAUUCUGUUGGAUUAGAAUGUCCAAGCAGUAAGUCUUGUGAAGAGUCAAAUGCUUUUCACUUUAAGGACAAGCUGUGAUGGGGAGCGAAAUUUAGUAGCGAAGCGUCUGAUGUCACACUGCCGAGAAAAGCUUCUAGUGAGUACUUAACUACCCGUACCGCAAACCGACACAGGUAGUCGAGGAGAGAAUCCUAAGGUGAGCGAGUGAACUCUCGUUAAGGAACUCGGCAAAAUGACCCCGUAACUUCGGGAGAAGGGGUGCUGAUCGCAAGAUCAGCCGCAGUGAAUAGGCCCAGGCGACUGUUUAUCAAAAACACAGGUCUCUGCAAAAUCGUAAGAUGACGUAUAGGGGCUGACGCCUGCCCGGUGCUGGAAGGUUAAAAGGAUGGGUUAGCUUCGGCGAAGCUCAGAAUUGAAGCCCCAGUAAACGGCGGCCGUAACUAUAACGGUCCUAAGGUAGCGAAAUUCCUUGUCGGGUAAGUUCCGACCCGCACGAAAGGCGUAACGAUCUGGGCACUGUCUCAACGAGAGACUCGGUGAAAUUAUAUUGUCCGUGAAGAUGCGGACUACCCGCGACAGGACGGAAAGACCCCAUGGAGCUUUACUGUAGCUUGAUAUUGAGUGUUUGUACAGCUUGUACAGGAUAGGUAGGAGCCAUAGAAACCGGAACGCUAGUUUCGGUGGAGGCGUUGGUGGGAUACUACCCUCGCUGUAUGACCACUCUAACCCGCACCACUAAUCGUGGUGGGAGACAGUGUCAGGUGGGCAGUUUGACUGGGGCGGUCGCCUCCUAAAAAGUAACGGAGGCGCCCAAAGGUUCCCUCAGAAUGGUUGGAAAUCAUUCGCAGAGUGUAAAGGCACAAGGGAGCUUGACUGCGAGACAGACAGGUCGAGCAGGGACGAAAGUCGGGCUUAGUGAUCCGGUGGUACCGUAUGGAAGGGCCAUCGCUCAACGGAUAAAAGCUACCCUGGGGAUAACAGGCUUAUCUCCCCCAAGAGUCCACAUCGACGGGGAGGUUUGGCACCUCGAUGUCGGCUCAUCGCAUCCUGGGGCUGUAGUCGGUCCCAAGGGUUGGGCUGUUCGCCCAUUAAAGCGGUACGCGAGCUGGGUUCAGAACGUCGUGAGACAGUUCGGUCCCUAUCCGUCGCGGGCGUAGGAAAUUUGAGAGGACCUGUCCUUAGUACGAGAGGACCGGGAUGGACAUACCUCUGGUGUACCAGUUGUGCCGCCAGGCGCAUCGCUGGGUAGCUACGUAUGGAUGUGAUAAACGCUGAAAGCAUCUAAGUGUGAAACACACCUCGAGAUGAGAUUUCCCAUUCCUUUAUGGAAGUAAGACCCCUGAAAGAUGAUCAGGUAGAUAGGUUAGAAGUGGCAGUGCGGUGACGCAUGAAGCGGACUAAUACUAAUCGGUCGAGGACUUAACCAA
rfam:Lactobacillus plantarum WCFS1 complete genome